ensembl:lncRNA
AGAUUUGGGAGGCUUGAGGCCUAGUCCUGAUUUGUCUCAUGCUUGUCCUGGGGCAAGUUGCCUGUUCCUUGCCCUUUGCUAUCUGCAGGUAGUGAGAGGACCAUUGGAAGCAGAAGUUUUAGAGGACUGGUUUGAGGUGCUGUGAGUCCUUGCAGUGAUUUGCAGACAGUCAGUUGAAUCUAUACAUUAGCAGGAACUGAUGCUGCCUGGAAAAAGAGAGUGACUCACAGCACAAAGAGGCAAGGAAUGAGGCAACAGCUAGCCAUGAGUAUGGAUGGAGCUUUACUGCCCAAGAAUAAGAGUAUGAAAAUCACUAUCCUCUUGAUGCCAUAGAAAGGUGGUUUUGAAGUGCACAAAACCUGCUCUUUCUGCUGGGCUAGGCCGCACCCUCUUGUGGCUAAUAGGCUUCUUUUUCACUCCCAAGUUCCCUGAAGUAGUCCUCUAUAUUGCUGGAACAGAAAUCAAUCCUAUCUGUGAGUUUACGCUUAAGAACUACUGUGGGCAGAGGAGAGCUCUACCAUCCUUCCUCAGCACUUCUGACAAUUUUCGGAGUACCACAAGAAAUGUCCCUUGAGAAUGAGAAGAGCUGAGAUGUAGCUGUGUGUGUAUGUCUGUAUCUUCUGGGCUGACUCUGCUCUCUUGCUGAAGGCAGACAAGAAGGUGACUUGACGUGGGGCUCUGGGCACUUUGGCUGACGUUAGGUUUCUUAUUUCAGAUAGGAAAUAUAUCUUUGGAGGAUCUACUGUUCCUCGUGGUUGGUAUUUCUGGAGGCACUGGAAGAAACUGAACAAAAAAUAAACUCUUCCAGAUGUUUU